GCGCGACGGCGUCGGCGCGAGGGCGCGGGGUUGGCGGUUUGGGCGGGCUCGCGAGGGCCGGCGACGGCGCGGGGUCCGGGGCUCCGGGCUCGCCCCCGCCUCUCCGGCCAGGCGCGCCUAUGGCGUUUCUAAGGUGACGCUGCCGCACCGACCACACCUAUGAACCCUCCGGCGAUCUUCCUCGCCGGGCGCCAGAACAUCGAGUCAGAAGUUGAGAAUUCCACUAUUGAGAAACAACGGAAGGAACUGCAUCUGCUCAUUGGAGAACUGAAAGAUCGCGAUAAAGAGCUCAAUGAUAUGGUCGCAGUGCAUCAAAGACAACUUCUUUCAUGGGAAGAAGAUCGGCAGAAAGUGUUGACUCUGGAGGAACGUUGCAGCAAAUUAGAAGGUGAGCUACAAAAAAGAACUGAAAUAAUCAAGUCACUCAUGAAGAAGGUGAAAGUCCUUGAAUCCAAUCAAAUCGAAUGUCAAACAGCUCUUCGAAAGACUCAGCUACAGCUUCAGGAGAUGGUUCAAAAAGCAACACAUUCUUCCCUCCUCUCUGAAGACCUUGAGGCUAGAAAUGAAAGUCUCAGCAACACAUUAGUGGAACUUUCUGCUCAAGUAGGACAAUUACAAGCUAGAGAACAGGCUCUCACUACAAUGAUAAAGCUAAAGGACAAAGAUAUUAUUGAGGCAGUCAAUCACAUUGCCGAUUGUUCGGGUAAAUUUAAAUUGUUAGAGCAUGCUUUACGUGAUGCUAAGAUGGUGGAGACUUGUAUCGUGAAAGAAAAGCAGGAUUAUAAGCAGAAAUUGAAGGCACUUAAGAUUGAAGUCAACAAACUAAAAGAGGACCUAAAUGAAAAGACAACAGAAAACAACGAACAACGAGAAGAGAUUAUUCGCCUCAAGCAAGAGAAAAGUUGCCUGCAUGAUGAAUUGUUUUUUACUGUGGAGAGAGAAAAGAGGAAAGAUGAGUUACUUGAUAUUGCAAAGUCAAAGCAAGAACGCACAAAUUCAGAGCUGCAUAAUCUGAGACAGGUUUAUGUAAAACAACAGAGUGAUCUGCAGUUUCUUAAUUUUAAUGUGGAAAAUUGUCAGGAAUUGAUACAGAUAUAUGAUUCAAAGAUGGAGGAAUCAGAGGUUCUAGAAUCCAGCAGAGACAUGUGUUUAUCAGACCUUGAAAAUAACCACCCAAAAGUCGAUAUUAAGAGGGAGAAAAAUCAGAAGUCACUGGUUAAGGACCAAAAAUUUGAGGCCAUAUUGGCUCAGCAAAAUAGGUCAGACAAGAACUCUUGUGAUAUAUGCAAAGAGAAGAAACUACAGAUUAAUACUGCAUUUGGGGAAAAAAAUAUAAUUACUGUAUCAUCUCUGCUUACUAAAGACUUAGCGGAAAAACAAAAGUCUUGGUCUCUGGGCGGAAAAAUCCAGAUUGAACCUAAAAACAAAAUUACAUUGUGCAAGAGCCAUGCAAAAUCAGCAAAAAGUAAUGGAAUUGGGCUUCAGAAUGAAGAGAAACAGCUCUCAGAAACAUCUGUAUCGUUACCUGAUGAAAAGCAGUGGCAUGAUGUCAAUGUCUACCUGGGCCUGGCCAACAGUCCUGGUUCAAAACAAGCAGAGAAGCUGGAGGUGGAAUGUCAUGAGGCAACAGAAAGAUCUGAAAUCUCUUGUUGCCCGAAAGAUGGAGGCUGUCUGGGUGAGAGUGAGCUGUGUGAGUCCAAGUGCUGCCACCCAAGUAACCUCAUCAUCGAAGCCCCAGGCCACAUGUCUGAUGCUGAGUGGAUGAACAUUUUCAAGCCUUCCAAAGUAGAGAGGAUUGUUCGCCACAAGACUGUGUGCACUUGUUCAGGAAGUGGAACGAAAUGCAGUUCCUCGGCCAGUGAAUUUAUUGCCAUCCAGCAUUCCCACUGCCUGGGUUCAAAAUCUGCAGUAAGAGAAGGUGAGACUGAGGCCCUGCUUGACAAAAAGAGCUCAUCCACGGGCUCACUACCCAGCAAAGAUGCAGCAAUGUCCAACGAACAGGAUGACUGCUCCCCCACAAGUAAGCUUCAGCGCUUGCUGGCAGAGUCUCGGCAAAUGGUCACCGAUCUGGAGCUGAGCACACUGCUGCCCAUCAGCUCUGAGAAUCUCAACAGCAGUGACAGAAGUAACUUAGACCUCUCAGAAGAGUCAGCUCAAAAAAAUACCAUAGUCAGUCAUUGAAGGAAAGAAAGUCAACUUCACUUUUCAUCAUGAUCAUGAGAAGUGUUUCUUGGGCUGUGUUUUCUUCUAUCAGACCUUCAUGUCACAUGCAGUCUCCUCAGGAUCCAAUUUGAUAACUUAAGUAGCACAGACUGCAGAUGUUUUCCAUAUUCUCAUCUACGUGGAAGGCAGAAAGAAGACAUCCAUACGACACACUUCACCUGAAGACAAAGAGGCACUUGAUACCAAAAGGAAGAGAAACUGAAAGGUUGAUUUGUUAAACAUCUGCAUUUUGUUUGUUUUCAAUUGACCAUUUUUUCCCAUAAGAAAUAUUUGCAUGUAUAAGAAAUGAGGCUUCAGUAUACAUACAUAAAUUUGGGAUUAUGUAAAGAUCAGUAUUAGAGAAGCUCUUCAGAGAAGGAGAACCCCAUGUGAAAAAUGCCACUCUAUCUGCUAUCUUAAAACCUGGGUGUACAUUCAAGUUAUAACCAACAGCUUGUCAGUGUCUGCUCCAAAAUGGUAUUUUCUCCUAAAAUUCUAAGUUUUAUUGCUGAAUUUUGCUGUGCUCAUAGACAUGAGAUGAGAUGGUAUAAAAUGUUUUUAAUGGUACGUCACUUUGGUUGCUGGCAGUUGAGGUCUGUCUGUCCGAAACCGACAGAGCCGCAUCUUGUCUGGGUCUCUAGUAGUCAGUCUACUUACACAAACAAAAGUUUGCUGGAAGAUCAAGUUUUGUAUGGAGUUUUUUUGUAGUAACGACUAAAAGACUUCCAUUUUAACUUGUAAUUUAAUUUUUAAAAAGAAUAUACUUUGUACCUGUGUCCCUUCUAAGUGAA